rnacentral:rRNA from 1 species
AGAUGGGAGCUUGCUCCCUGAUGUUAGCGGCGGACGGGUGAGUAACACGUGGGUAACCUGCCUGUAAGACUGGGAUAACUCCGGGAAACCGGGGCUAAUACCGGAUGCUUGUUUGAACCGCAUGGUUCAAACAUAAAAGGUGGCUUCGGCUACCACUUACAGAUGGACCCGCGGCGCAUUAGCUAGUUGGUGAGGUAAUGGCUCACCAAGGCAACGAUGCGUAGCCGACCUGAGAGGGUGAUCGGCCACACUGGGACUGAGACACGGCCCAGACUCCUACGGGAGGCAGCAGUAGGGAAUCUUCCGCAAUGGACGAAAGUCUGACGGAGCAACGCCGCGUGAGUGAUGAAGGUUUUCGGAUCGUAAAGCUCUGUUGUUAGGGAAGAACAAGUACCGUUCGAAUAGGGCGGUACCUUGACGGUACCUAACCAGAAAGCCACGGCUAACUACGUGCCAGCAGCCGCGGUAAUACGUAGGUGGCAAGCGUUGUCCGGAAUUAUUGGGCGUAAAGGGCUCGCAGGCGGUUUCUUAAGUCUGAUGUGAAAGCCCCCGGCUCAACCGGGGAGGGUCAUUGGAAACUGGGGAACUUGAGUGCAGAAGAGGAGAGUGGAAUUCCACGUGUAGCGGUGAAAUGCGUAGAGAUGUGGAGGAACACCAGUGGCGAAGGCGACUCUCUGGUCUGUAACUGACGCUGAGGAGCGAAAGCGUGGGGAGCGAACAGGAUUAGAUACCCUGGUAGUCCACGCCGUAAACG